UGAUAAUAUUCUCUUUCAUGUCCUGCUGC
rnacentral:piRNA from 1 species